AAGUCGUAACAAGGUUUCCGUAGGUGAACCUGCGGAAGGAUCAUUAACACGUAUCCAACGUUAAACAACCCCGUGAACUUUCAGCCUGCUCUUGCAUGCCAUGAUGAAACAGCAAUCCCGGUAAAUCAUCGCCAAAACAGUUUUGAUUCGGGACCUCUGUCAAGUGGGGUGCAAUUGAUGCGGUAGAAGCAGUGGCAUGGCUUCCCCAAGUGGUCAGUGAAUAACAGCGUCACUGGCUAUGUAAGGAUAACGCCUCACGGGAAAGUGGGGUUAUUAAGGGGCGUGGUGACCCUGUGACAUGUCUGCCGGCCGGUGAUCGACCUCUAGCAACCCCCGCCUAGUGGUAACGCGCUAGGUAACUAAAACCGAACAACUGUUAACAAUGGAUAUCUUGGUUCUC
rnacentral:misc_RNA from 1 species